rnacentral:rRNA from 1 species
UACGGAGGGUCCAAGCGUUAUCCGGAAUCAUUGGGUUUAAAGGGUCCGUAGGCGGUUUAGUAAGUCAGUGGUGAAAGCCCAUCGCUCAACGGUGGAACGGCCAUUGAUACUGCUAGACUUGAAUUAUUAGGAAGUAACUAGAAUAUGUAGUGUAGCGGUGAAAUGCUUAGAGAUUACAUGGAAUACCAAUUGCGAAGGCAGGUUACUACUAAUAUAUUGACGCUGAUGGACGAAAGCGUGGGUAGCGAACAGG